AACGCGAAGAACCUUACCUGGUCUUGACAUCCACAGAACUUUCCAGAGAUGGAUUGGUGCCUUCGGGAACUGUGAGACAGGUGCUGCAUGGCUGUCGUCAGCUCGUGUUGUGAAAUGUUGGGUUAAGUCCCGCAACGAGCGCAACCCUUAUCCUUUGUUGCCAGCGGUUAGGCCGGGAACUCAAAGGAGACUGCCAGUGAUAAACUGGAGGAAGGUGGGGAUGACGUCAAGUCAUCAUGGCCCUUACGACCAGGGCUACACACGUGCUACGAUGGCGCAUACAGAGAGAAGCGACCUCGCGAGAGCAAGCGGACCUCAUAAAGUGCGUCGUAGUCCGGAUUG
rnacentral:rRNA from 1 species